rnacentral:lncRNA from 1 species
UUUUUAUAAAUGUUCAAUGCUUCUGAACAGUGGAUGACACAUGUUUAAAGCAGAAUGAUAAGCGAUUACAAGAGGUGUUCUGCUGAUUUUUUUUUAUUCUUAUCCUUGUACUCUAUAGGUGUAAUGCCACCAAAUCAUGGUACAUCACAUCCGGUUCACCCCUAGUUUUUUUGUGGGGUUCGUGUUGUUUAUUCUUUAGUUUUCUAUGUUGUGUCGUUUGUGCUGUUGUUUGUUUGUCUUUUUCAUUUUUAGCCAUGGCGUUGUUAGUUUGUUUUAGAUUUAUGAGUUUGACUGUCCCUUUGGUAUCGUUCGUCCCUCUUUUGUAUACGAAAGUAGGUCGAAAAAAUAUUCCCUUGAAUUUGACAGUUGUAGGUAAUUAAUCCUACAUUUUAUUGCAGUAAAACAAUU